UAUAAUACCCAUAUAUACUGUGUUCUGGUCUUGAAUUUUCUAUAUCACCCACUUAUCUGAUGCAGGAGGAUUGCUUGAGGCCAGGAGUUUGAGACCAGCCUGGGCAAUUCAGCGAGAUUCCAUCUCUACAAAACCAAAACAAGGCCGGGCACAGUGGCUCACACCAGUAAUCCCAGCACUUUGGGAGGCUCAGGAGGGAGGAUCUCCUGAGGUCAGGAGUUCAAGACCACCCUGGCCAACAUGGCAAAACCCCGUCUCUACUAAAAUUACAAAAAAUUGACUGGGCAUGGUGGCAGCUGCCUGUAAUCCCAGCUAGUCAGGAGGCUGAGGCAGGAGAAUCGCUUGAACCCAGGAGGCGGAGGUUGCGGUGAGCCGAGAUCACGCCACUGCACUUCAGCCUGGGCGACAAGAGCGAAACUCCGUCUCAAAAAAAAAAAAAAAAAAACUAAAAACAAACCAAACCCAAACGGACAUUUGGGUUGGUUCCAAGUCUUUGCUAUUGUGAAUAGUGCCGCAAUAAACAUACCUGUGCAUGUGUCUUUAUAGCAGCAUGAUUUAUAAUCCUUUGGGUAUAUACCCAGUAAUGGGAUGUCUGGGUCAAAUACUAUUGCCAUUCUAACUGGUGUGAGAUGGUAUCUCAUUGUGGUUUUGAUUUGCAUUUCUCUGAUGGCCAGUGAUGAUGAGCAUUUUUUCAUGUGUCUGUUGGCUGCAUAAAUGUCUUCUUUUGAGAAGUGUCUGUUCAUAUCCUUUGCCCACUUUUUGAUGGGGUUGUUUGAUUUUUUCUUGUAAAUUUGUUUAAGUUCUUUGUAGAUUCUGGAUACUAGCCCUUUGUCAGAUGGAUAGAUUGUAAAAAUUUUCUCCCGUUCUGUUGGUUGCCUAUUCACUCUGAUGGUAGUUUCUUUUGCUGCGCAGAAGCUCUUUAGGUUUUUUUUUUUUGAGACGGAGUUUCGCUCUUGUUGCCCAGGCUGGAAUGCAAUGGCACGAUCUCGGCUCACCGCAACCUCCGCCUCCCAGGUUCAAGCGAUUCUCCUGCCUCAGCCUCCCGAGUAGCUAGCAUUGCAGGCAUGCGCCACCACGGCCGGCUAAUUUUUAUUAUUUUUUAUUAUUAUUAUUUUUAAUAGAGACGGGGUUUCAGCAUGUUGGUCAGGCUGGUCUCCAGCUCCCGACCUCAGGUGACCCGCCCACCUCGGCCUCCCAAAGUGUUGGGAUUACAGGCGUGAGACACCGUGCCCAGUAGUGUGCUACAUUUUUAUAGGA
rnacentral:lncRNA from 10 species